GUUUUUCCGUAAUAAAGAUCUGAGUACUAUAAGAUGGAGAGAACUACUAUAUGAUUUGGAUCAACCAAAUAAGAAUAACCGAUUUUAGUUAACAACAUAAUUAACCAGCUGGUUUUGAAAUGGCAUAUUAUUAAGUGGAAACAAUCAAAAGGAAGACCUUUGCCUUCACUAAAUUUUGAUCUUAUGAUAUAUCUAAAUAAAGCUCUAGUAGUAGUAGUAUAAAUACAAGUAAAGAACUUUGACUACCAAGAAGAAUGAGUUCAACCACAACUUUGUUGCAUCUACCUUCCAUCUUAAUUCUCAACACAACCAUUUCCCUCAUCAUCAUUUCUGUUUCUUUGUAGUUAUCGUCUUCGCCGGACUUUUAGAUCCUUUUUCUUUCUCUGCUUCUCUUGGUUCUGGUUUCUUGUUGGAAGGUGAUUCAUAAGUGGAAGUGGAGCGGAGGGACAUCUUGGCAAUCUCCGACACAGCAGUGUCUCGGGUAGCUGGUGAAUCACUCGUCAAAUCUAGGUAUGCUGCUUGGAAAGCGUCUUGCCAGAACUUAGGCAACCUGAUCCUGCUAUUCUGUGUGUACACAUCCCACAUAUGUUUUACCAUCUUCUCUCUUUCCUCCAAUACCAGAAUAUCAAGAUCUUCAUGGAUCGUGAAAUCAGAAGCAUGAGAUAAACGGCUGAGAUUUGAAGUAGACCAGUUGAGACUAAGAGUAAGUGAGCCAGUAAACAUAGACCAAAAAGCUAGCAAAAGAAUUGCAGCCAAUACCCACAAUUUGUAUUUACCUUUACCAAAAACCCCACUAAAUCCUUGAUCUUUUUUUACAGUUGAUGUUGCUGCUGCUGCUGCUGGUGUUGCUACUGCUGAAACUGAAGAAACUGUUGUUACUGUAUUUGUACUAAUUCUUGAUUGAGCUUCUUCAUCUUUCAUUUCUUGGUAUAUUCUCAUGAUUUUUCUUUCACCCAAUUCAGAAAAGAUUAGAUCUUUAUAAGCAAAACUGAGAGUAAGAAUUUUUUUGAUUUUUUAUUUUUGAAGAAUCAAG
rnacentral:misc_RNA from 1 species